rnacentral:piRNA from 2 species
UCUACAUCUGAGUGCCCCCCAAACCCAGC